ensembl:lncRNA
GAAUCCUUGUUUGACACAAGUGACCCGGACCUCAGCUGGAGCUGGACCCUCCAGGUGAGUGCGGGGGGGCUUAUGAUCCAUAUUCACGCUCGUAUUUGCAUUGAUUCGAGUUUAUCUCCGCUUCCUCCCACGGAAACGCCCGUGAAAUCAAUUAUUACCAAUCAGCAACCAGGAGGAGGAGCUUCUCCUCGAGGCUCCUCCUCCUGGUUCACUUCUAUAUGUAGAUGUACUAUUUAACACACCUGUUCAGGUGCUCUCUCAGAGUCACGUGGUUCUCUGUAUCACCCGGAAGCUGUAACCCACCUUGCAGUGGCAGAUUAUUGAUUAUGAACUUCCGGUGUGAUCCACUGGGGGGCGGCGCUGGACCGGAUCUCCGGUUGAUGUUUCCACAGUAAACUUUUGAAACAAAACAGAUACAAUUUAAAUAAGUACUAUUAAAGUAUCAUAAUGAAGUAUUUCUCAUCCAUUCACUUCGUUUCUUUUUUUUCUCAAACAAAAAGGUUUUUUUUUCUUUUCUUCUGUACGCGCGCGCGCGUGUGUGUGUGUGUGUGUGUGUGUGUGUGUAACGAUGAUGACGACGUCCAGGUGCGCGCUGACGAGCCCGAGGAGCGUGCGUGCCGCUGGUCGGAGUCACGCGCACAGGUGAGCUCGGCAUCGUGCGUCCGGGACAGAGUGCGCGGGCUGUACGUGCGCGUGCGCGGCGCGGAUCUCCUCCUCGCGGCCACACCGAGGAAGUCGUGUCCCGAACUUCUCCCCCUUUUUCUCCCCGUUUUCUCCCCGCUGCUUCCGGGCCGCUCGGCUGCGGAGCUCCACGAGGACCCGGUGCCCCGGAGACCGGCAGCUCCGCGCGGGAGAGAGAGCGCGUUUCCACGGCAACACGCGGAAGCGUUUGUGUGGACCAGAAACUCCAACCAAAGCACCACAGAAGAAGAAGAAGAAGUUUGCGUAGAAGCAGAAGAAGAAGCACAAACGGCAGGAAGCCAAGAUGGGGAGGAAGAAGAUCCAGAUCGCACGAAUCAUGGACGAACGGAACAGACAUGUAAGUGAUCAGAGCCUGACGAUGCCGUUGCUAGGCAACGUUGUGACGUCAUCACCCCAUAUGACAUCACAUAUGAUGCUCAUAUUCAAUCAGAAUUAAGACAUAAACUGUACAUUUAACAAAACCGUCUGUAGAUGCAGAAACGACCUCGUCCAUCGGAAUAUGUAUGACCAUGUGGUUUGAUUUUGAGAAUCUGUGUUUUAAUUUGAGAAACAAAACAACUCAAAUUUUCUUUUCCUCCAAAGCCGUUUGAAAGUCACGUGUGUGUCACGCUGACACACACAGACACAGACACACAUCCACUUCCUGGAAGUGAGGUCACACGUGUCGGCGUUAAUUUAAAACCAGAUGAGGUGGUUUCCCUCUGAGGGGAUCUUACCGGGCUGCAGGUUCAGCUCUGUGAUUAUGGAAGAAGUCCAUUAAAACCCAAAUCCUCUUCGUCCUCCGGGA